GAUGAACGCUGACAGAAUGCUUAACACAUGCAAGUCUACUUGAACUUCGGUUUGGGUGGCGGACGGGUGAGUAACGCGUAACGAACUUACCUCACAGUUAGGGACAACAUUUGGAAACGAAUGCUAAUACCUGAUAUUAUGAUUUUAGGGCAUCCUAAGAUUAUGAAAGCUAUAUGCGCUGUGAGAGAGCUUUGCGUCCCAUUAGCUAGUUGGAGAGGUAACGGCUCACCAAGGCGAUGAUGGGUAGCCGGCCUGAGAGGGUGAACGGCCACAAGGGGACUGAGACACGGCCCUUACUCCUACGGGAGGCAGCAGUGGGGAAUAUUGGACAAUGGACCAAAAGUCUGAUCCAGCAAUUCUGUGUGCACGAUGACGUUUUUCGGAAUGUAAAGUGCUUUCAGUUGGGAAGAAAAAAAUGACGGUACCAACAGAAGAAGUGACGGCUAAAUACGUG
rnacentral:rRNA from 1 species